rnacentral:rRNA from 1 species
CCUACGGGUGGCAGCAGUGGGGGAUAUUGCACAAUGGGGGGAACCCUGAUGCAGCGACGCCGCGUGGGUGAAGAAGCGCCUCGGCGCGUAAAGCCCUGUCAGCCGGGAAGAAAAUGACGGUACCUGACGAAGAAGCCCCGGCUAACUACGUGCCAGCAGCCGGGGUAAUACGUAGGGGGCAACCGUUAUCCGGAGUUACUGGGGGGAAAGGGGGCGCAGACGGCGAUGCAAGCCAGGAGUGAAAGCCCGGGGCCCAACCCCGGGACUGCUGUUGGAACUGCGUGGCUGGAGUGCAGGAGGGGCAGGCGGAAUUCCUGGUGUAGCGGUGAAAUGCGUAGAUAUCAGGAGGAACGCCGGUGGCGAAGGCGGCCUGCUGGACUGCAACUGACGUUGAGGCCCGAAAGCGUGGGGAGCAAACAGGAUUAGAUACCCUUGUAGUC